AGCGAACGCUGGCGGCAGGCCUAACACAUGCAAGUCGAACGAAGCCUUCGGGCUUAGUGGCGGACGGGUGAGUAACACGUGGGAACGUACCUUUUGGUUCGGAACAACUCAGGGAAACUUGAGCUAAUACCGGAUGAGCCCUUAGGGGGAAAGAUUUAUAGCCGAAAGAGGGGCCCGCGUUGGAUUAGCUAGUUGGUGAGGUAAAGGCUCACCAAGGUAACGAUGUAUAGCUGGUCUGAGAGGAUGAUCAGCCACACUGGGACUGGGAAACGGCCCGGACUCCUACAGGAGGCAGCAGUGGGUGAUCUUGCGAAAUGGGCGAAAGCUUGAAGCAGCCAUGCUGGGUGAAUGAUGAAGGUCUUAGGAUUGUAAAAUUCUUUUACCAGGGACGAUAAUGACGGUACCCGGAGAAAAGGCCCCGGCUAACUUCGUGCCAGCAGCCGCCGUAACAC
rnacentral:rRNA from 1 species